GCUGCUUGAGGCGACUGCUGUGACAAGAGACUCGAAUCACUUCAUAGACAAUAGCACAUCAAGCGUUUCAUCCGUUGUAAUCUUAGUGAUCGCCUCGGAGCUUGUGACGAUCGCUGUAAGGCCGACGGAACAUCAAAGGCCUUGAAACGCUAGACUGUCAUUUAUCGUUGAGUCAAGAUAACUGAUUUAGGCGUGGGCAAACAUUCAAUUCCCAAAUGAAACAUCCGUGCUAUUGUCGACACCCCAUAACACAGCAGUUGUUGAGGCUUGUGCUGUUGCCGCAUUGACGACGUCUUUAGUAAUCUGAUAUUG